UACGGGGGGGGGUAAGCGUUGUUCGGAAUUACUGGGCGUAAAGGGCUCGUAGGCGGCCAACUAAGUCAGACGUGAAAUCCCUCAGCUUAACUGGGGAACUGCGUCUGAUACUGGAUGGCUUGGAUUUGGGAGAGGGAUGCGGAAUUCCAGGUGUAGCGGUGAAAUGCGUAGAUAUCUGGAGGAACACCGGUGGCGAAGGCGGCAUCCUGGACCAACACUGACGCUGAGGAGCGAAAGCCAGGGGAGCAAACGGG
rnacentral:rRNA from 1 species